UCAAAAAUGUAAAUAUUAGUGUAUACUUACCUGGGUAGUACGAGCUCAUGCUUAAAACUCAAAGAACUUGGCGGUGUCUUAAAUCUUUUUAGGGGAAUUUGUUCUAUAAUCGAUAAUCCGCGGGUUACCUUACUUUUUUUUGUACAGACAGCUUGUAUACCGUCGUCGUCAGGUUACUUUUUGAAAAUCUUGAAGUUAGCUAGUAGGUUUAUUAGUUUUGUGGCUAUUAUCCUUUACGUCAGAUCAAGGUGCAGUUGAUGGAAAAGUAGAAAUGAAUUACAAUAAAUUAGUUUUUAUACGGAGUUUUCUUUGAAAAUAGGGAAAUGAAGGUGGACUUAAAAGUAAAUAUGAUAUUAGAAAGAUUUAUUGAAUUUAGCUCUAAGACGUGC
rnacentral:rRNA from 1 species